rnacentral:lncRNA from 1 species
CACUACAGCUAGUAGGCCACCUCAGCCCGGCUAGUUGAGAUGGUCCCAUUGAAUCCAUCCUCUUUCUCCUUGAUCCGGCAGGUGGAGGAACUCAGCCAUCCCGGUUACCGGUGGCAGGAUGAUUUCCUUUCAUCCCAACCUUUAUUUCCACAGUGAAAUCAUCAUGAAGGAGCACUGUGUUGGCAUCCUCGGCUACAGGGUGUCUCAUUCCACUGCAGUCCAGCGGUUCUGGGAUCACGAAGGUCAAGCCUCCAGCUGCAGGCAGUACACCUCCUACCUGAGCUCAUUCAGCUGUUUGGCUGAACAUGACUGCCCGGGUUUUGGCAGGAUUGCUGAGUUGGAGUCUCACUGUGUCAUCCAGGCUGCAGUCAAGUGGCAAACUCUCAGAUCACUGCAACCUCUCCCUCCAGCUUCAAAGGAUUCCUCUGCCUGCUGAUGCUGCUUUUCCCCCACAUGAGGAGAACAUGCAGACAGUUAUAAAAAAUUCUGUGCCUGGGGUACUCUCGCUCUGUAGACCAGGCUGGAGCGCAGUGGCAGGAUCUCAGCUCAACACAUC